rnacentral:rRNA from 1 species
UACGUAGGAGGCAAGCGUUGUCCGGAAUUACUGGGCGUAAAGCGCGUGUAGGUGGUGGGGACAAGUCUGCUGUGAAAGCGCCUGGCUUAACCGGGCGAGGUCGGCGGAAACUGUCCGACUAGAGGACGGUAGAGGGGGGUGGAAUUCCCGGUGUAGUGGUGAAAUGCGUAGAGAUCGGGAGGAACACCUGUGGCGAAGGCGGCCCCCUGGGCCGGCCCUGACACUGAGACGCGAAGGCGUGGGGAGCGAACGGG